CCCUAGCCCCGAUUGAAGAGAAAAUCCCGCAAUGGAACGGCGGAGCGAAGCGGAGCCGCGUAAUGAGGAAUUGCAACGGAAAGCGGGAUUAAGC
rnacentral:sRNA from 1 species